AUUACUGAUAGGACCCGAAAGGUGGUGAACUUUGCCUGCACAGGUUGAAGUCAGGGGAAACUCUGAUGGAGGACCGUACGGGUUAUUGAUGUGCAAAUCAUUUUUCUGAUGUAGGUAAAGGUGCGAAAGACUCAUCGAACCACCUAAUAGCUGGUUUCCUCCGAAGUUUCCCUCAGGAUAGCUGUAAUGCAUUUAGUUAAGGGGAGUAGAGAUAUGGGUAGAGGUGCAGGGAGCCUUCGGGUUCUCAACUUAUUUCCAAACUUCGAACCUCCUUGUUAGGCAUUUACCUAACUGGAAAUGCUUAAAUGAAUUAGCGUUACAAGUGGGCUCUGACCGGUAAGCGGUCAUGGCGAAAUGGGAUGAACCAUACGUCUGAAUAAGGUGCCGAAAUGUACUAUCACUGAUACCAUAAAGGGAGUCCAUGUAUUUAGACAGCAGGUCGGUGCCCCUAAAAGCAGGUAUCCGCUAAAGAGUGUGUUAAAACUCACCUGCCGAAUACUAGGGCCCCGAAAAUGAAUGGCGCAUAUAGUACUACCGAUCUCAGACAUCAGUUCUAUUGAACUGAGAGUAGGGGGAUGUGGACAUUUUUGUGAAGGUGCAAUGUGAGUUGGACUGGAAGAAUGUCUAUUACAGAUCCUAAUUGAAGUAGCGAUUAUCCAGGCUUGUAUCCUGGGGGCUGAUGAGGAGUAGGGUUUCUGGACAACUUAAACAGAUCCAGAGUUAGUCGAUCCUAAUCUCAAUAAUGGGAGAAAGGGAGUACAGUUGAUAUUCUGUAACUGACAACAGUUCGCGGCAACGCAUACUAUUUUUCUCCGCCAAUCUUAUACCGUUGGUAGGGAUCUCUUUCCUACAUGACAGUACUAAUACCCCAGGGAAACUGGUCAUCAGGCGAACUGCGGCGUUCUGCUGGCAAA
rnacentral:ncRNA from 1 species